UACGUAGGGUGCAAGCGUUAAUCGGAAUUACUGGGCGUAAAGCGUGCGCAGGCGGUUUUGUAAGUCUGUCGUGAAAGCCCCGGGCUCAACCUGGGAAUUGCGAUGGAGACUGCAAGGCUUGAAUCUGGCAGAGGGGGGGUAGAAUUCCACGUGUAGCAGUGAAAUGCGUAGAUAUGUGGAGGAACACCGAUGGCGAAGGCAGCCCCCUGGGUCAGCACUGACGCUCAUGCACGAAAGCGUGGGGAGCAAACAGG
rnacentral:rRNA from 1 species